AAAGAGAAAAGAAAGAGAGAAGAAGAACAUCGGAAAGAGGAAGAAAUCUAGGGUUGGUUUUUUUUUUUUUCUUCCUUUUAUUCAGCGAGAGAGGGGGAUGGGAACGCUCAAGAGCUUGAGAAAAGCGUACGGAGCCCUCAAAGAUUCCACCACAGUCGGGCUUGCCAAAGUCAACAGCGAUUUCAAGGAAUUAGAUAUUGCGAUCGUGAAAGUGACCAACCACUCUGAAAAUCCACCCAAGGAACGAUAUGUUCGAAAAAUAUUUCAUGCAACCUCUGUAGUUCGUCCACGUGCCGAUAUUGCUUAUUGCAUACAUGCACUUGCAAGGAGAUUGGCAAAGACCCGUAACUGGACGGUUGCAUUGAAAACAUUAUUAGUUAUCCACAGGAUGUUGAGAGAGGGUGAUCCUACCUUCAGAGAUGAGCUGCUAAACUACUCCCGCAGAGGACAGAUUCUUCAAAUAUCUAAUUUUAAGGAUGACUCAAGUCCUCUUGCUUGGGAUUGCUCUGCAUGGGUUCGCACAUAUGCACUCUUCCUAGAGGAACGACUUGAGUGUUUUAGGAUAUUAAAAUAUGAUAUCGAAGCAGAGCGUUUAAAGAAAUCUGCACCAGGGUCGGCCAAGCAUAGUAGAACCAGAAAUUUGGGUUGUGAGGAUCUGUUGGAGCAGUUGCCUGCUUUACAGCAACUACUGUAUCGUCUUGUUGGCUGUCAGCCUGAAGGAGGAGCUUUCAACAACCAUCUCGUACAGUAUGCCUUAGCUCUGGUAUUGAAGGAGAGUUUUAAAAUAUAUUGUUCCAUGAAUGAUGGAAUUAUCAAUCUUGUGGAUAUGUUUUUUGAUAUGUCAAGACAUGAUGCCGUCAAAGCCCUCAACAUUUAUAAAAGAGCAGGCCACCAGGCACAAAAUCUUGCUGAUUUUUACGAGUUUUGCAAAGGCUUGGAGCUUGCUAGAAAUUUCCAAUUUCCAACUUUGAGACAGCCACCUCCUUCAUUUCUUACAACAAUGGAGGAAUAUAUAAGAGAGGCACCUUGUACGGGUUCUGUUGCAAAUCAGAGACUGGAGUACCAGGAUAGGGACCUUGUAGUGACAUGCAAACCAGCAGAAGAUUCUCCUCCUCCUGAGAGUCCAAAACCCACCGUAGAAGAUGAUGAAGAACCUGCCGAAGAGAUACAAGAACCUCCUCAGCUCAACAUUGAGCCUGCACUUCAACCACCCAUGCCAGCUGCAGACACUGGAGAUUUGUUGGGCUUGAACGAGAUUAAUCCCGAUGCCGCUGCAAUUGAGGAAAGCAACGCAAUGGCUCUUGCCAUAGUACCACCUGGAGAUGAUUCGAAGCCUCGUGGAUUGUCAUUGAGUGGGUUGGGUUCUUCGGGAUGGGAGCUAGCACUGGUUUCAACUCCUAGUAGCAAUAGCAGCCACCUGACCGAAAGCAAAUUGGCUGGUGGUUUUAACAAGCUGUUGCUCGAUAGCUUGUAUGAUGAAGCAGAAGUGAGGAGACAACAACAGAAUGUGGGGUAUGGUGUUGCAAUGAACGCUAAUCCGUUCGACUCGCAGGACCCGUUCUCCAUGUCGAACGGCAUUGCUCCCCCACCCAACGUGCAGAUGGCCUUAAUGGCUCAGCAGCAGCAGCAGCAUAUGAUGUCGAUGAUGAUGGUCCCGCAUCCAUACCCAACUCAUCAUCACCAUCCUCAGCAGCAGCAGCAGAUGCAAAUGGGGACCAUCAACCCGUUUGGAGACCCAUUCACCGGUGUCCCGCAGAGCGCACCGCAGGGAAAUCCCAGUUUGCUCUAAUCAAAUUCCAUUUACCUCAAUUGCUUUAUAUUCUCUGAUUCUUUUAUUCCAUUGGAGGGGAGGGGUUGAGGGGUGUUCCAGUCUUGUAAAGUUGGUUUUGAGUCUGUAUGCAUUUUGCUGGGAGGACUCAUAGUCUACAAUCUGUUGUAUGCUACAACCCUCUUUUUUCUUUUUCUUUUUUUCUUUUUUUGGUUUCCAAUUUGCCUAUGCUUUGUAGAAAAGGGUUGUAGGUCGAGAUAAGCUACAACUGGUUGUAGAUGAUCUGUUCUCUUCUCCUACAGUGAAUGUAAAUUUUUUUUAUUUUUUUUGGAGUGUGGAGUUACUGAUCAUUGGUUGGACUUAUCCAUGUAUUCCUUCCUCUCUUCUCCCAAAUGCUUCUGAAUAUCGUUGUGCACCUUUUCUUUUCUGUAGAGUUGCAAAAUGCAGUUGUUGUGAAUGACUUUUCAUGUUCUACUUUUAACAGCGUCUGCUCUUGAUUGGAAGCAUGUUGGGCGCCCCGACGCCUGCAUAUUGGACAGUUGAGGAAAUUUGCAGAACUGUAAUGACAUGGGUGUUUUCUCAAGCCAUUAGGAUCAUCGAAAUUAUGGGCUACAUUGCAAUCAAACCGAUCAAGCAGUCCUAACCAUCCAAUAUAUAGCAAUCAAAUUGAUGGAUAAGGUAAAAUGGACGUGGAUUGGCUGAUGACCUCGAC